rnacentral:lncRNA from 8 species
AUGUUUCUACGCUCUGUUCCACAGUCCCUGCUACUACCGCGCCAUUCGACACUCUUCAGGACAGUCAUCUCUUUGAUACAGAGAACUCAGUGUCUCAACCCCACCGGAGGGCGCUAUCUAUCCACCAACGGCCAGCCCAGAACCAGGAGCUCCCAGGAGAUUACAGUAGCUCCGCACCCCACACGGAGGCACUCUAAUGGCACAGCGCGACCGCCACAGACAGAGGGACAGAGGCCUCCAUCCUCUUUGGGGAUGAAAGCAGCUCCUCUGACCACAGUGACUUGGACAGCUCUGUCAGCCCUCUGCCGGCUGUCUGCCCACGCCUACCUGCAGCCCCCACUCCACAGGAAGUGCCCACAGUCAGGAAACAAGCUCUUCUGUUCUUGAAACGAGAUAUGCUGUGGCGCCCUCUGUCUUCGGCAAGGAGGAGUACAACAGUGCCAAGACCCGCCGCCCAGAACCUAUCACAGCCACAGUUCAGCAGCAAGCCGGCAGUGUCAUCCAGUAGCAGGCCAGACCUUGUUCCUGAGGAGGAAUAUCUGAUAGACAAUUGGCUGGAGGGUGAUAUGGGCGAUUUUCAGCCAAAGAAGAAGAGAAGAGUGGGGGAGGAGCAGAAUUGAAGCUGGGACUUGACUACAAUGUCAUCAGGGCCCAGGAGUCAAAACAGUCACUCAACUAAGACUGAGAUGGUUAGCAGAGGUGUGUAGCAGCUGCACUGAUGACACACACACACACACACAGCCUUCCCUUUACUUCCCUGUAGAACCCAUAUGGAAGCUAACGACAGGAGAGCCCAAGCAGAUCCUCCCUUUAAUUUCCUUCUUUCUUUCUCUUAUCAUUUUGCUGAGUGACUUAAGUCUCCAUUUUGCUUGCCAUGUAGUGUCCUUGGGAGUCUUGAAUGUCACUUGAACAUUAGUCACUAAUGUUUAAUGUAACUAUGAACUAUAAGGGGCAUUAGUAGCCAGUGGAACCACAACCUGUGUUUUUUCUUUCUCGUUUUGCAUUGUCGUUGUCGUCCAGUAGGGGUUUCUCUCUGAGGAAGACUGACGACGACCCCCGACCUUCCACGCCGCCCCAGAACCACCACAACACUCAGCAGGUCAGAUAGAUCAAGUGAGAGCUGACCUGAGUUCAAAUACUAUUUAAAAAUGUUCAAUACUUUGAGCAUUUGCUUUAGCCUGCCUGCAGUGCCAGGUGUGCAGGGUUGGGAUAGUAUGAAGCAGUUUUUAUCUCAAUAUCAAAUAAUUUCUGGUUAACAACAAAACAACCUUACCUGUGAUUGUUUUACAUUAAAAUGGUCAAAAAGAAACAAAAAUAGCUUCUAAGAUAUGAGCAAUUUCUCAAGCAAUAAUUUUUCUAGGACUGCCUGGGAGUGGUCUGAGUGAGGAGGGGGAAAAUGUAAAACUAGCUGUUAUUGGCCGUGACGUGUGGAACUCUCUUUCUUAUUGGUCUAUUAACUAAUUUACCGCCUGGUGACGUCACCAUCCAGAUCAAAUCCCAUCCCACAAAGAUAGCUUGACAUUUCAGGUAGUCUUUUCAAACAGCUCUUACACUAAAAGGGCGUUAUAAUAUUUUUCACAAUUUCACAGUAUUAUUCCAACCUCAUAGUGUGGAAAUAUAUAUAAAACAGAGGAAAAUCAAGAUUUUGACUGCACUGGGUGUCAAACUAAUUGACAUAAUAAAAAAAUCCCUAUCAAAAUCUGUCUGUUUAAGCUAGAGAUAUCAUUUUUUUGUUGUAUAGGCUCAGUCCACCACAUCCGCCUGUCGGCCUUCCGUAUCUGCGGUGAAAAGUGGCAGACAUACAGCACUGUUUGUCAGACCAGGAGACAUCCCGAAAAUCGAUUUUUGUCACAAACGUCUGGUUUGGCCUACUAACUAACAUACCUCUCUAUGGAAAGAUGAGUGCCACGAAAACGAUGGUGUUAUCCGUUUUGGUCUACAAGCCCCACCGGACUCUUCUGAAGUAGGUACCGUCAAUGUGCCAACUUUUGUCUCUAGUGUCCGAACCAUUUGGGCUAAAAAAUAAUAUGACCCCAAUCACAAAUAUUAUGGAUAUAUUGGAACUAGUGAAUACAUGCUGGCCUAACUUAAGGAUCUGCCCCUUUUUUCAAUUUUCACCUAAAAUGUCAUACCCAAAUCUAACUGCCUUUAGCUCAGGACCUGAAGCAAGGAUAUGCAUAUUCUUGAUAUGAUUUGAAACGAAACUCUUUGAAGUUUGUGGAAAUGUGAAAUUAAUGUAAGAGAAUAUAACACAUUAGAUCUGGUAAAAGAUAAUACAAAACAAAAUCAUGCAUUAUUUUGUAUUUAUUUCUACCAUCUUUGAAAUGCAAGAGAAAGGCCAUAAUGUAUUAUUCCAGCCAAGGCGCAAUUAAACUUUUGACCACUAGAUGGCAGAAUGUAUGUGCCAAGUUUUAGAAUGAUCCAAUGAACUAUUGCAUUUCUGUUCAAAAUGUUGUAUCAAAACUACCCAAAUGUGCCUAAUUGGUUAAUUAAUAAAUUUUCAAGUUCAUAACUGUGCACUUUCCUCAAAUGACAGCGUGGUAUUCUUUCACUGUAAUAGCUACUGUAAAUUGGACCGUGCAGUUAGAUUAACAGGAAUUUAAGCUUUCUGCCAAUAUAAGAUAUGUCUAUAUCCUGGGAAAUGUUCUUGUUACUUACAACCUCAUGCUAAACGCAUUCGCCUACGUUAUCUCAACCGUCCCGCGGGGGACACACCAAUUUAAAUUAAAUUUCCAGACCUAGUGAGAUAUACAUGGUGGAGGUUCAAUCAAGCUAGUCGUCUUGAGUACUUUCUUGAAUACUUUCUCGUUGGCACCAAAAAUUAAAAACACGUUGAUAGGUGACAGAAUGAGGUCGGACAUUCAAAUAAUAGGCAUAUGCAGUUGAAGUCUGAAGUUUACAUACACUUAGGUUGGAGUCAUUAAAACUCAUUUUUCAACCACUCCACAAAUUUCUUGUUAACAAACUAUAGUUUUGGCAAGUCGGUUAGGACAUCUACUUUGUGCAUGACACAAGUAAUCUUUCCAACAAUUGCACA